rnacentral:rRNA from 1 species
CAAUAGCGUAUAUUAAAGUUGUUGCGGUUAAAAAGCUCGUAGUUGGAGUUCUGCCAGGUGCCGCCUGUCCGCCCCAGUGGUGAGUACGUGGCGCGCAUUUGGCCCUUUCAAGGGGAGCGUAUCUGCACUUUAUUGUGUGGUGCGGGAUCCUUGACUUUUACUUUGAGGAAAUAGGAGUGUUCCAAGCAGGCUCUCGUCGUGCACAGCUCAGCAUGGAAUAAUAGCAUUGGACCUCGAUUCUAAGCUGUUGGUUGCCAGAAGCGAGGUAAUGAUGAAGAGGGAUAGUUGGGGGCAUUCGUAUUUAACUGUCAGAGGUGAAAUUCUUGGAUUUGUUAAAGACGGACUGCUGCGAAAGCAUCUGCCAUGGAUGUUUUCAUUGA